CCUACGGGUGGCAGCAGUCGAGAAUCAUUCACAAUGGGGGAAACCCUGAUGGUGCGACGCCGCGUGGGGGAAUGAAGGUCUUCGGAUUGUAAACCCCUGUCAUGUGGGAGCAAAUUAAAAAGAUAGUACCACAAGAGGAAGAGACGGCUAACUCUGUGCCAGCAGCCGCGGUAAUACAGAGGUCUCAAGCGUUGUUCGGAAUCACUGGGCGUAAGGCGUGCGUAGGCUGUUUGGUAAGUCGUGUGUGAAAGGCGCGGGCUCAACCCGCGGACGGCACAUGAUACUGCGAGACUAGAGUAAUGGAGGGGGAACCGGAAUGCUCGGUGUAGCAGUGAAAUGCGUAGAUAUCGAGAGGAACACUCGUGGCGAAGGCGGGUUCCUGGACAUUAACUGACGCUGAGGCACGAAGGCCAGGGGAGCGAAAGGGAUUAGAUACCCCAGUAGUC
rnacentral:rRNA from 1 species